rnacentral:sRNA from 1 species
AUACUGGGUCUGGCUUACUCAAAUCGGCUCUCGAAUAAACACUCAUCUUCCCUUUGCAGCGGAAGCUUUUGUUUAAAUGACAUUGAGAUUCAAACCCUCGAAGGACAGACAGUUUAUCCAUCCCCCACCUUACAGGUAAAGAAACUAAAGCCAAGAGCAGUUAAAUAAGAAAUCUCUGUUCCCAGUUAGGAACCCAGUGUGCCGGAUCCGCCCAGCUGCCUUUGAUAUGUAUGGUGUGGAUCGAAGGUUGGCAAGUAAUACAAACAAGAAGAAAACAGCUCUGAACUGACUGACUGGGAGGGGGAACGUGAAGUCCACGAGGAAGGAAAUGAGGAUUUUUAUGCUGGGAAAUAUUUAACCUCAUGUAAGCAAUAUGUGACCUAAAACUGGCUGCCGUGAACAAUGCCAAGGUCUCAACGUCCAAGUGAGCACGCUUUUCGAGGAAAGGAGUUGUGACUGACGUGCUUUGGAAGGAGACACCACUCUUAUUGGAGGAAGUUUCCACCCAGCCAUUGGGUGAUCAGUAUUUAUCGACAAGGCAGAGAAUAAAUGGAUAACUCUAACCCAGGGCAUUGGCACGAGGAUCAAACUAUUCUCCUCACUGAAGUACACAGGCACAUAGAGAAGACUGGACAUCAUCCAUGGGCUGUUAGCAUGUAGCUAUUCUGUACCUUUAAUAUGCCACUUAAAGGGCACCUUCGGAUAAAAGGAGUAAGUCUUUGUAAGAUAUAGUCCAGAUUCGUGUUUCGUCAAAUGGGAUCACUCCUCCACUCUGAACCCCAGUCUUUCUAUAUGUAAGGCCUAGGAUGAUUUUUAUUAGUUUCAAAACAUGGCAGAAAGAGCUCUUUGGGGGUUGCGCUAUGAAUAAAUUGGCAAAAGACAAAUCAAAUCCUUCAGACACUUCUUGGCACCCUGAGUGCACCUCAGCUCUGCUAUGGGAAUGCUUCAGCUGAAGCAUGAGUUGACAUUUCACCGAUGCUCAAAUCACCCAAGUCAAAACGUAGCCACCAUCAAAGUCCCCACAGGAGGGAUUCAAACCUCAUACAGAGAGGAAGAGAAAGAACAUGGUGCUCUUUGGUUUUUGACUUUUGGGUCUCUUGACUCAAAUUUAACCCAGAGGACAGUGUUUCUGUCAGAGACUCGGUGUGCAUGCCAGGUUGGGUGAGCUGCAGGAACAAAACAAGACCUGCCCCUGAACCAUCGCGGGAGUGAACCAAGGGUGACAGACUCAGAGAGAGAAGAAUCCUCCAAUUGGGCAGAGAAACUAUAAACUAUGGGGGACUGAGCACACAUUGGUUUGUUUGAAGCCAAACAAGCCAGCAGGGCCAUGGUUUGAAUACAGCCUCUCCUCCAGAGAUAAGCCGGUUCAGUCCCCACUGACGUUACAUUUUAUGGCGAUGGAAGCCUGGGUGGAAACGCAACCUAACUGCAACAGCCAGAGGUGAGACCUCAUCAGGGUGGAGUUUCCAUGCUUGAAUUCUAGUGACCUCAUGAGGAGAAGGAGACACAGGGACAUCAAGUACACAUCUGCCCCUUCUUUGAUGUGCCACAUAUGACUCAACAGGUAGGACGGUGAUAGGAGCCUGUGGCAUAGGACUUUCCCAUGCAGAUCAUGGCAAAAAUAAACAAACCUUUCCUCUCUAAACAAGCUUGUCUCAUGACUUUUAUUAUAGUAAUGGAAAGUUAGGUAAAGCAAGGACAAACUUAGAUUGUAUAAGCACACACUGUAUGUUUUAU